rnacentral:ncRNA from 1 species
AAGGUUCUUGUAGCAAAGAUGAAAAGGGAAUGCCGUGCGAAUCGGCAACAGUUACCGCUGCUGUAUGUUCCUGCCCGUGGCUUGUCUGCGGGUCAAAAAGUUUUAAAAUCGAUGCCACUGACCUCCUCGGAGGUUGGGAAGGCUUUAAAACAGGAACGAGUCAGAAGACCUGCCUUGAGAUAUAG